rnacentral:rRNA from 1 species
GAUGAACGCUGGCGGCGUGCCUAAUACAUGCAAGUCGAGCGAACAGACGAGGAGCUUGCUCCUCUGACGUUAGCGGCGGACGGGUGAGUAACACGUGGAUAACCUACCUAUAAGACUGGGAUAACUUCGGGAAACCGGAGCUAAUACCGGAUAAUAUAUUGAACCGCAUGGUUCAAUAGUGAAAGACGGUUUUGCUGUUACUUAUAGAUGGAUCCGCGCCGCAUUAGCUAGUUGGUAAGGUAACAGCUUACCAAGGCAACGAUGCGUAGCCGACCUGAGAGGGUGAUCGGCCACACUGGAACUGAGACACGGUCCAGACUCCUACGGGAGGCAGCAGUAGGGAAUCUUCCGCAAUGGGCGAAAGCCUGACGGAGCAACGCCGCGUGAGUGAUGAAGGUCUUCGGAUCGUAAAACUCUGUUAUUAGGGAAGAACAAAUGUGUAAGUAACUAUGCACGUCUUGACGGUACCUAAUCAGAAAGCCACGGCUAACUACGUG